rnacentral:rRNA from 1 species
UAAUACGGAGGGUGCAAGCGUUAUCCGGAUUCACUGGGUUUAAAGGGUGCGUAGGUGGGUCUGUAAGUCUGUGGUGAAAUCUCUAAGCUUAACUUGGAAACUGCCAUGGAUACUAUAGAUCUUGAAUACCGUGGAGGAUAGCGGAAUAUGUCAUGUAGCGGUGAAAUGCUUAGAUAUGACAUAGAACACCAAUUGCGAAGGCAGCUGUCUACCCGAAUAUUGACACUGAGGCACGAAAGCGUGGGGAUCAAACAGGAUUAGAUACCCUGGUAGUCCACGCCCUAAACGAUGGAUACUCGACAUUUGCGAUAAACUGUAAGUGUCUGAGCGAAAGCAUUAAGUAUCCCACCUGGGAAGUACGAUCGCAAGAUUG